rnacentral:rRNA from 1 species
AUUGAACGCUGGCGGCAGGCCUAACACAUGCAAGUCGGACGGUAGCACAGAGGAGCUUGCUCUUCGGGUGACGAGUGGCGGACGGGUGAGUAAUGUCUGGGGAUCUGCCCGAUAGAGGGGGAUAACCACUGGAAACGGUGGCUAAUACCGCAUAACGUCGCAAGACCAAAGAGGGGGACCUUCGGGCCUCUCACUAUCGGAUGAACCCAGAUGGGAUUAGCUAGUAGGCGGGGUAACGGCCCACCUAGGCGACGAUCCCUAGCUGGUCUGAGAGGAUGACCAGCCAAACUGGAACUGAGACACGGUCCGGACUCCUACGGGAGGCAGCAGUGGGGAAUAUUGCACAAUGGGCGCAAGCCUGAUGCAGCCAUGCCGCGUGUAUGAAGAAGGCCUUCGGGUUGUAAAGUACUUUCAGCGGGGAGGAAGGCGAUGUGGUUAAUAACCGCGUCGAUUGACGUUACCCGCAGAAGAAGCACCGGCUAACUCCGUGCCAGCCGCCGCGGUAA